CCUACGGGUGGCAGCAGUGGGGAAUAUUGGACAAUGGGCGAAAGCCUGAUCCAGCCAUGCCGCGUGUGUGAAGAAGGCCUUCGGGUUGUAAAGCACUUUCAGUGGGGAAGAAAGCCUUGGGGCUAAUACCCUCGAGGAAGGACAUCACCCACAGAAGAAGCACCGGCUAACUCCGUGCCAGCAGCCGCGGUAAUACGGAGGGUGCGAGCGUUAAUCGGAAUUACUGGGCGUAAAGCGCGCGUAGGCGGUCUGAUAAGCCGGUUGUGAAAGCCCCGGGCUCAACCUAGGAACGGCAUCCGGAACUGUCAGGCUAGAGUGCAGGAGAGGAAGGUAGAAUUCCCGGUGUAGCAGUGAAAUGCGUAGAGAUCGGGAGGAAUACCAGUGGCGAAGGCGGCCUUCUGGACUGACACUGACGCUGAGGUGCGAAAGCGUGGGUAGCAAACAGGAUUAGAUACCCCUGUAGUC
rnacentral:rRNA from 1 species